rnacentral:rRNA from 1 species
AGCAGCCGCGGUAAUUCCAGCUCCAAUAGCGUAUAUUAAAGUUGUUGCAGUUAAAAAGCUCGUAGUUGAAUUUCGGGAUCAAGGAAUCGGUCAUGCCUCGGUAUGUACUGGUUUUAUUGGUUCUCACCUUCUAGAGAACCAUGAUGUCAUUCAUUUGAUGUUAUGGGGAAUUAGGACUGUUACCUUGAAAAAAUUAGAGUGUUUAAAGCAGGCUUACGCUUGAAUACAUUAGCAUGGAAUAAUGAAAUAGGACAUCAGAUUCUAUUUUGUUGGUUUCUAGGAUCGAUGUAAUGAUUAAUAGGGAUAGUUGGGGGCAUUAGUAUUCAAUUGUCAGAGGUGAAAUUCUUGGAUUUACUGAAGACUAACUACUGCGAAAGCAUUUGCCAAGGAUGUUUUCAUUAAUCAAGAACGAAAGUUAGGGGAUCGAAGACGAUCAGAUACCGUCGUAGU